UAGACCAAUUUCCUCAUACUAGCUCAGCAGAAUCUGUACAUCUUAUGUGCAGGCGUACCAAAUGAAGGAGCGCUUGGAGUCAGGGAUGAAGGUGUCGGGGAUCCAGAGCAGGGACACGAGGCGUCCAUCCACGCUGACACUCUCAUUUCCCGGGAACACCAGCCUGGAGUCCCGCCAGCGCUGACGAAGGAAGAUGGUGGCAGUGUAGUCCUAAAAAGCUGUUCCCAUCACACUGAAAAGCUCCCAACCUCAGCGAAGCAUUUCCAUUAAAUUCCAUGUAUUAUUUAUGCAGCUCUGCCAAUGUGAUUAAUGACGCAUACAAACACUUUUUAUUUCCUCUUUCUAAUGGCCAUGAUGAAAGUUAAAGAACCAAAGAAUGCCAUUGGGUUUUUUUCAACACAUGCCAGUUGAUGAUUCAUUUACGUUGUGUUUCACAAGUUAUCUU